CCCUUUUGAGCGAGUUCGAAUUUCGAGACACGCGCGUCACACGAAAACCGUCUGGAUUCGUGUUCGUUACAUUAUUGUUCGUUUUAUCACAUCGUGACUAUGUGGGGGAGCGGACAUUUUUCUCGUUUCCCCCGGCUGCGAAUCCGGGUAAAAAUGACUGUCUAAUUACCGGCGAUGUGUCGUUUGGAUUACAGCCGAAACCAAAAAUAUCCGUAACAAAAAACUCCGCGGAUAUGUAAACGAUAGAAAAAUUAUUGUUAUUAGUUCCGGCCGAAUGAAAAUAUUUCAGGUUCGGAGUGGUCCGUGCGACUGUGCC